rnacentral:tRNA from 1 species
GGUGGGGUUCCCGAGCGGCCAAAGGGAGCAGACUGUAAGUCUGCCGUCAUCGACUUCGAAGGUUCGAAUCCUUCCCCCACCACCA